AUAUAGAGAGAGAGUUGCGACAACUCCAUUGACUCCAAUGGAACGCUUUUUUUACAGCAAUGGCAGCUUGUGGAGCCUCUCAAUAGUUCCCGGGAAGUAGCAGCAAACCGAUGCCGCGCCGUAGAGAUGCAGCAGAACAAACUGUUUGCGACGCACUUUUAAUAGGUAAGACGAUUAGUGGUUCUUCACCACAGGACUGUUCUGUGAUGGAGCAUCAGUAAUGAUGCAGGUCAGGAGUACUGAGGGGACCAUGGUGAGAAUGAAAACAAAAGCCUCAAUCCUCAACCUCAGCCGUAUAAAUCUUUUGGAGAUUUUUCCUUCUACUCCACAGCAUGAUGGAAGCCUGCUGGAGAGUGACUGAGCUUCUUUCUCCAACACAUCCACUGCAUUGGGGAGCUCCAUGAGUUUUGCAUUUUCCACAGAUGCUGGCAAAUCUGAUUAAUUUUUGGACAAUGUAGCCUGCGAGAUGGAAGAGAAUACAUUUCUCUGUUUUUGUGAGGUCAGGUGCUGUUCUGUUCUCCACCAUCAGCUGUUCCACUCUGACUGAUGGAGUGACGUUUUGUUUCACUGUUUCCAGGAAGUCUGCCAAAAAGCUACUGUCAUCUUCCUGGUAGCUCCCAGACGUGAUGGUGGUGAGGAACUGCCCUACUGAUAUGAUUCUCAGUGCAUGAUGGAAUUCCACUGGAGUUGGUAUGGGAUUUUUAGACCUCACACAGCUGAAUGUAUUUUCAAGACAGUCUUGUGUGAACCUUGAAGUUAACACAAACCUGUGUCCUCGUGUCAGCAUCUCUUCCUGUAUGCCCAAAACUGAUUUGGUUGCCAUUAUCACCCCUUUUUGAACAGGCUUCCAAACUCCCUUAUGACCAAUCUUCAUCCCAUAGAAUAGAUGGAUGAUAUCCUGUAGGAAGAUUAUGGCCUUUUCAUACUCCUCUAUCUUGACCCUGCUCAGUGCUGUAAUUGGAUGGCGAGAUGACAUAAGAUCAAACCAAUGAUCCACUUGCUCCAGGAACCACGCUGUAGUCAGGUAGGAGAGAGGGCGGUUUUCUUGCUGCACCAUAUACUUCAGUCCAGCACUUGUUGCCUUACUAAAUACAUUAAGAGCAGGACCAACCUUCAUUUUUUCAAAGUGGUUUGGCUCAAUGGCUGCAGCUGAUAGAUGGGGAGCUACUUUUAAUGCCAUCCCUUCUUGAAAGGACAAUAAGUCCUUAAUAGGGACCACUGAAACCUCAUUGGAAGGUAGGUUCUCUUUGUUAACCACAUUCUUUGGAAUUGUUAACACCUGUCCACGGACAAGGGCACUUUUUAGUGUUUCACCAGAUGUGGGACAUCAGGCAUGAAAUGGAGACACCUAUCCGGUGUUGUUGGAUGCGGCACAGAUGUUUUGGUGUGGUCGACCCCAAAGGAUUUCCACAUGGCCUGGUUAGGGCUACCCAUAUCGGUGGUGACAGCAAGCACAUGUAGCCCUAUGGAUGCUGCCCUCUCUAUUAAUUCUGUAAUUAUUGGCUUGUAUUCUGCUCCAUUGGUAGAAUUGCCACUGUAAUGAUAUGCCACUACUUGUUUCCAGCGAGUUGUGUUUCCAGCCAACAUAAACACACAAGCAUGUGUUGCUACUCCUGUGUUACCGGCAAAGUGACAUCACCAUAGAGUUUGCCUGUCAGCAUGUGCAGCUCAACACUUGGAGUGAUUGCCAUUUCAUCCAAGGACAGCACACACUCCCUUUCAAGGGUUCUGAUCGCUGGCAAGGGAAUCUGCAAUUCCUGUAGGGUCUUUUAACCAGUUGGACCGGCUGCAAAGCGAAUUUUCAAUGCCUUCUUAAUUGUUUCAUUGCUCCAUUUCAUACAUUUUGUGGUUCGUCUUCCUAAUGCCAUAAUUUGGUCUUUUGACAAAAAUUUCUUUAAAAUGUUGUCCCUAAUUUUAAUUCUUUUUUUGAGAGCUGCAUUUUCAUUCUUUAUUUUUCUUAGUGCUGACUUUGCAUUUUUUGAUAUUUUUUCUUGUCUCUUCAAUUUUUUUAAUAGACCCAGGUAACUGACUGAUGGUUCACUGGAAUGCUGACUGGCUGCUAACUGACUUGCUGCAUGCUGACUGGCUAGUGUCAGCUGUCCCUGUCUCUCCUCUCUAGCAAUGUCCUCUUUUUCUUCACUGUCACUUUCCCUUCUCUGAGUGUCCUCAAUCUUUUUUUCCUCAACCUUUGAAACUGAUAGAGGCAGAAUACAUUGUAAUGCUAAUUUUAAAUAUUGAAAAUAUCACAUCACUUCAAAAUUAGAAAUAUUACUUCAGCUAGUACGAGUUUGUACUUAUUAUAUAUAUAUAUCACCUGUAAUACUAUAGCUGUGAUCAACAGUGAUUUGCUGUAUGUCUACAGGUCUAAGGGUGCAUCGUGGAGCAGGGGCCCUCCUCUUUUUGACCACAGGACGAUGCAGAAAGAUUGUGGGAAUAGCAUCUGAUCUCAGCUUACUCUUGAAUUUUUUGGUCAUGACAAAUUGGUUUGCCUCAAAAUGUUCCUGCAGAGUAACUUGAGUUUAGUUUCCACACAAAACUUUUUUCUUUUUUUUUGUCUACCCACAUAUACUGUACAUAUCACAUGGUGGUUAAAUGCACAAUUAUAGGUAACACUAAUGACUCCCUUCCAAUGUCUCACCAUGAGUCUCAUCUCCCUGGGUUUUGCAAGGCUUUGCUUGUUCCUUAUUUCCAGUAAAUAAUUUUCCAUGUAAAAAGUGCAAAUAAAUUUAAGUAUAAUUACCUCACAAA